AUUGAACGCUGGCGGCAGGCCUAACACAUGCAAGUCGAAUGGUAACAGGAAACAGCUUGCUGUUUCGCUGACGAGUGGCGGACGGGUGAGUAAUGUCUGGGAAACUGCCUGAUGGAGGGGGAUAACUACUGGAAACGGUAGCUAAUACCGCAUAACGUCGCAAGACCAAAGAGGGGGACCUUCGGGCCUCUUGCCAUCAGAUGUGCCCAGAUGGGAUUAGCUAGUAGGUGGGGUAACGGCUCACCUAGGCGACGAUCCCUAGCUGGUCUGAGAGGAUGACCAGCCACACUGGAACUGAGACACGGUCCAGACUCCUACGGGAGGCAGCAGUGGGGAAUAUUGCACAAUGGGCGCAAGCCUGAUGCAGCCAUGCCGCGUGUAUGAAGAAGGCCUUCGUGUUGUAAAGUACUUUCAGCGGGGAGGAAGGGAGUAAAGUUAAUACCUUUACUCAUUGACGUUACCCGCAGAAGAAGCACCGGCUAACUCCGUG
rnacentral:rRNA from 1 species